UGUUUGAUUCAGAAAUUCCAAUCGUGGGCUUAUACCCCAGAGAAUUGAAAGUAAGGAGUUGAAGUGAUAUUUGUGCACCAUAUUCAUUCAAAGCAGCAAUAUUCAAAACCAAAAGGUGGAAACAAUUCAGAUGUUCACUGACGAAUGAGCGCAUGGAUAAAUAAAUGUGAUUUUAUAUACAUGUUACUAUAUUUACAUGUAAAUUAUAAGUAAAAUAUGAUCAUUAUAUAAAAUUGUAUAUAAUUUAAACACAUAUAAAUUAUAUAAAAUAAACAUUAUUUAAAAAUUAAAAUUUUAUACCUAAGUAUAUAAAAUCAUUCAGUCUCAAAAAGGAUGUAAAAUUCUGAUAGAUGCUACAACAUGGAUAAACCUUAAAGAUGUUAUGCUACAUGAAAUAAGCCAGUCACAAAAGGAAAAAUGCUAUAUGAUUCCACUUACAUGAGGCAGGUAGAGUAGUCAAACUUACAGAGACAGAAAGUGGAAUGGCGGUAGCUCGGGUGUGUGGGAGGAGGUGACAAGGGGGGUUCUUUCAUGUGAAGAGUUUCAGUUCGGGAGGAUGAAAAAGUUCUAGAGAUGGAAGAUGGUGAUAGUUGCACACUACUGAACUGUACACUUUAAAAUGGUUAAGAUGGGUUCUCCUGCUGGCUCCGUGGGUUAAGGAUUCAGCAUUGCCCCUACGGAGGCUUGGGUCGCUGCUAUGGCACAGGUUCGAUUCCUGGCCCCAGAACUUCUGCAUGCCACAGCCACGGCCAAGAAGAAAAAAAAAAUGGUUAAGACAGUACAUUUUCUGUCAGUUCUAUUUUCCCCAAUAAAGAAUUAAAUAAAACAAAAACAAACCUCAAGCAUCUUAGUUCCUAAGUCUGAAACUACCCCAGAUCCAGGGAAGGCACACUGUCAGCCCAUAUGCUCACUACUCUAGGAAUUUAUCAUACUCUUUGAGGAUGUUAACUAUAUAUUUAAACAUUAUUUUUAACAUUUUAUUUACAAUUACUAGAUAUUUUAUUCAAGAAGGGUUCCUGCUAUUUCUGUGUUUGUUCAUAAGUAGCCUGAACAAGUGAAGAUUUUGAACACAGGUUGCAAAUUGAUGGCUUACAGAUUUUAUUUUGUUUUUUCAUCAAGACAUUACACACAAAAAAAUCCAGAUUCCCAUCUUCUCUUGAAAUUUUUGAAUCUUUUUUAAUUUAAUUUUAAAAAACUUUUAAAUUAGAGCCACCCUAGUAGAUGUGAAGUAAUGGGCCACUUUCUCACCUGGCAAUGGAAGGCUCAACUACAUACUAGCUUCCCCUUCGAGAUAAAAUAAAUGCUCUGCAGCUUGCCACAGUCACCACAGUACCCAGCAGACCUAAAACUGACCUGUUUUAUCUUCCUAGGUACUAAAAAUAUUAAGGCUUGCAACCACAGGACUAUCAGGACUCUAUCAGGUUUUUAUGUGCCAAUAAUUUCUUCCUCUAGGGAGCCUUUUUUUACUCAAGCCCAUAAUCCACUCUUUACAAUACUCUCUUCCUCUUAUUACCAUCAGAACUAGAAAUCUGAUGGAAGAUGCCCCUAAGAAGUAAAGAGGUGUCAUAAAGUUUGGGGUAAGGACGGAGCUUUAGUCUAUGCAACCUUCAUUUCCGUAGACCUUCCUUCACUUGUCUAUCUUUUCCGUCGUGCUGUGUUGGCUCGCAUUAGAAGGGGCAUGAUAAAGUAUACAGCAUCCUGUACCAGCAGUCAAAACACCUACAUUCUGUUUCCAGACCUGCCUGUUACUAGAUGGGUUCACGGCUCCCAGAAAGACCCAGUGGCAAAUGUAAACUCUCAGUCUCCAGCUCUCACCUUUUUAUCGACUGCUGCUUCCUCUUUCUUCCUUCCAUCCCAUAAGUAUGGUGGGCCAUACGGUUAUUCAUCUAAUGGUGAGUCAUCUUCUGUAAAUCUAAUGUGCUUCUUUCGAGGGCACAGUUUACUGGGGGAACUUCAAAUUUCAGAAAAACUAACUAGAUAGACAAUGUUCCUUGCAAAGAAUUCUUCUAGGAAUUUAAAAAAAAAAAAUGUCUUCGUAUCAGAGGAUAGCUUAAUUAUCUCUGCUCUUAGUUGAUACCUCUUUCAACUUGUAGGUAAAAAUCUCCCAGUUUUGCAAAUCCUGUCAACUAAUUCAUUUAAACAAAACACCGUGUGAGCAAAAUGAAAUAUACCUAUGAACCAAAUUUGGCUCAUGAGCCACUAAUUUGUAGAAGAAACUUAUAGAUAAUGAAAAAAAUUGUAUAUGAUUUAUGUGUUUAAUAAGUGAGAUAUAGGAAACCUCCAAAGUAGCACUUAAUUUUAGAUCAUUUUCCAUUCCCUAAUGAUUUCAUGCAUAAAUCUCUAGCCUCUUGUUAGUUCCCCCCGAGAAAUCAAGUCAUUUUCUUAUUCGUACUUCCGCAUGAAGACCUAGCAGGAUGUGACAUAAAGAACAUGUGCUGAGUUCCCUUCGUGGCUCAGCAGUUAAGGAACCCGACUAGGAUCCAUGAGGAUACGGGUUUGAUCCCUGGCCUUGCUCAGGAUCCCGCUUAAGGAUCCAGCGUUGUGAUAGUGUAGUCACAGACAAGGCAUGGAUCUCGCAUUGCUGUGGCUGUGCGUAGGCCGGCAGCCGUAGCUCUGAUUCGACUCCUAGCCUGGAAACUUCCACAGGGCAGGUGCGGGCCUAGAAAGCAAAAACAAAACAAAACCAAACAAAAACCAUGUGCUCACUCCAGUCAAUGUUUUCGUGAAGUUGUAGAUUUAGGAAGUACCUCAAGCUUCUGGUCCAGAGAUGGCAGAUAGCAUUGUCACAUAUACAGCCACCAUUCUCCAUCCUCAUGACAGACACUGCCUGGUAUAGUACCUGGAAUUCCCACUCGUAAGGUUUAUAUUCCCUUCAAUUGAGCUCUUUUUGAAGAACAGCAUUUCUGAAUUUGUAUCCCUUGACCCCCUAGUUUUGUGGGUUAUCCUUAAGUAUUGAAUAAUUUCUGUGGUUGUAGCAGUCAGAGUUUAAUUACAACCUGAAUUCAUUCUAGCUAGCUUAUUGAGCAACAUAAUUGUUAGCGUUGUUGUUGUUGUUGUUGUUGUCGCUGUUAUGCUCCUGGAGGCCAGACCCGUAUGUUACUCAUCCAGAAACAGCACAGCCAGGAGUAACAACAGGCCGAGAACAAUGCCUGACCUCACUGUGGCACUUUUCUAGUAGAAAUGCCACUGCUUGAGAGUGACCACCGGACACUUCACAACAGCCCCCACAGGAAAACCAGACACCUCCAGCAUGGUGCUUGUCAAGAGAUGCAGUUUUCCCCUAAUAUACUGACUUCCUCUGCCAGGUAUCCCUGGCACACAUCUGAUUGGUCGCAUCUAGGUCAUGUGCCUGCAUCCAACCUCCAAGGGUGUCCUGGGAAAUGUAGUUUUUAGAAAAUGGAGGCACACACAUACACACACUGUAAAGGGGCUUGGGAUGGUGGGGACAGGAGGUGACUGAGCCAACCCACUAUCUGCCACCUGGUCAAAUUAGUUUAAGCUAAAUUGCUGUCUUUGCCCAAAGUCUUUACAGAGCUUUUUAAAUAGUAAUAUUAUUCUCGUUCUCCAAAGAGGGUUUUUUUCAAGUUAUAUUACCAUGAAAUACUUUUUCCUAAUCUUUCAGAACUAGUGUGUUCUAUGGAACACAACUCAAGAUGGCUACACUACGCCACUAGUAUAUCCACUGUGAGUUUUGCUGUUUACGGUAAGCCCCUCCCUGCAAAAGCCUGAGGUCUUGAUAGAUGCUGAUGGACAGCUAGCAGAGAGGCUUCAGGAUGGUAGGCUCGAGUGCAUAGCCAGGGUGGGGACCCAGAGCCACUUUGGGCCAUCUGGAGAGAAUGACCUCAUUGUAUGCCCUGGGGGUAAAGAACCACUCAGUCUGCAUCAUCCUCAAGUAACAGUGUCUGCACCUCACAGAUUACUGCUCUGUGUGGAUGAGUGAGCUGAGCCCACCAAAUGUAUUUCAUCAAGGACUUUUUGAUUUAAGACCUGGAUUUAGCAGCACCUCCCCAAGGUGAAGGGUCAUUUUCUCUUCUACUAAUGACUCACUUGUUGAGAGCAAGCAUUAGUUUGCAGAUUACUGAAAAGAACAUUUACUAGUAAUUUGCGACACAUCAUCAUGUGGGAAUUAGAUUACAGCUAAGGAUUCCCUCAUAAAGCAAGCUUUAACAUUUACUACAUUUCUGGAGAAAUAUGUGUGUUCUUUGCCCCUGUGAGAAUGCAGUUACAGGCCCUAUGUGGGUUUGGGGUCGGCAGAAAGUACCAUCCUGAUUCUUCAUGCUUGCUGAGAUGAAGUCAACUCAGUGCAGAAGGAAGAAUUAGCAUUGGUCCUCGCCCAGAAAGGUUCCUGCAGAAAUGAGAUAAGUCACAGGCAGAGGGAGGAUGAGAAGGCCUUUGGUUGAUCUCAUGGCAGUGGAAUCUGGGGUUUGCAAGAGGAGCAGUGAGAGUGUGUGGCCAGGCAGAGACUAGCCAGGAAGUCAGCAAACGCAGUGCCUUGCCGUCCUCUCCACUCUGGGUAUUUCAUUUUCUUACUGAUGGAUCCUCACUUCUCCCACCCAGAAGUAGCACCUAUGAUGGUUAACUUUAUGUGUCAACUUGACUGGGCCACAGGGUGUCACAGUAUUUGUAUAGCAUUAUUCUGGGUGUGUCUGUGGGGGUGUUUCUGGAGGAGAUUAACUCUUUGAAUCAGUGAUUGAGUAAAGCAGAUUGCUCUCUCCAGUGAGAGAGGGUCCCUUCCAAUUUGUGGAAAGCUUGAGUAGAACAAAAAGGAUGAGUAAAGGAGAAUUCUACACCCCCCUCUUUCAUUCUCUUGGUUCUGUCUGUGCAGAACCCUGAGUAAUACAGCACCCCAAAUCCGCUUUCUUCAGAUGAAUUCCCGGACCCUCCCCCUUUCUCUCUAUCCUUGGUUUUGUCGAUCAGUCAUUCCAUCAACCAAUCAGUCUCUGAUGUAUCUGCCUUUGUUUUCUCAUCCAUAUAAUUGGGGGAAUUCUUCCUGUAUUCUUUAAUGCAAAUCCUUCUGCUCUUUUCCCAAAUCAAAUCAAUAAAUAUCUAUGAAGCAAGGGUCCUGAAACUUUGAGGAUUCCAAAGAGCUUUUGUUUAUGUGGGUUGUGCCAGAGAAUAUUUACACUGUUGUCUAUAAACCACUCUAGAAAUUAAUUAGAAAUGAGAAAAAAUGUUUAAAUGCAAGAAUAAAAAAAGCAUAUCUUACCAGCUGCUGCAGAAAUUGUCAUCACGCAUUAUUCAGCUUCUGGGAAACUCCACUGCACAGCAGUGACAGAAUGAAAGUCAAGGCAAUUACCAUCUUAAUAUUACUAUGAGAAUAGUCUUGACCUCACAGACUUCCAGGAUGGUCUUGGGGACCCCCGGGAUUCCCAGACACUUUGAAAAUCACUGCCCUAGAGCAUCUGCAAAUGGCCUUCCUGCCUCCUUUCGUGGACCCCUUGUUCCCCACAUCACUGCCUCACCGAUCUUCCUAGACACUCAUUUGACUGGGACACUCUUCUACCUAGAGCCCAUUUUUGUUGUUUCUUAUCACCAGUAGGAUAAAUUAUCCACCUAAGCAUAGCGCACAACAACUGCCAUGAUCUGGGCCGUUCCAAUCCUCACCUGAAAAACUCCUAUUGAUUCUUUACUCUCAGUUCAGAUAACUGGGAAAUCUUAACAUGUAUUUUUGCCCUAAAUAAAGUAGAACAAGUGAAAAACUCUACCAAGUUGUUUUAUGUACAGAUAUUUUGAGGAUAAGAAAUGGCUUUGAUGUAAAGAUUUUAUAUUAGGGGGUCAGAAACAUUUGAAAUUUGAUGUCAAGAGUCCAUUACACAGGCUCUGUAAGACCUUACUACUCUUGCGGCUCAGUAGUAACGAACCUGACUAGUAUCCGUGACGUUCGAUCCGUAGCUUCANCUCGCUCCGGGGGUUAAGGAUGCGACGUUGCUGUGAGCUACGAUGUACGUCGCAGUCACAGCUCGGAUCCCGCGUCGCUGUGGCUGUGGAGUAAGCCGGCAGCUGCAGCUCUGAUUCAGCCCAUAGCCCAUGAAGUUCCAUAUGCCCUAGAUGCGGCCCUCAAAAGACAAAAAAAAAAAAACAAAAAAAAAAAAAAA
rnacentral:lncRNA from 1 species